AGUGAAUAAUAUAGUUACAAAAUUUCAAUCUACUUUAUAAAAAAACCAACUAUAAGAUAGAUAAAACUUUAUUGAAAUUGAUAAAACUUACUAAUCAAAACUAUAAAAUGCAUGAACUAAUGAAGCAGAAUUAAUGGGGACACAUUACUAUAAUACAAAUUAAUAUUGGCUUUUGUACCGAUACGGGAUGAGAACAGCGGAAGGUAUCUUCUGUUUCCGUGUGAGUGGCCUCAAUGGUCUUUUGGCGUGUCAUCAUCCUUUGGCCAUACAACGCUGUCAUAACCAUAGGAAGCCGUUUCAAAGAGAAAAUCUUCAGUGCAUUCCGGGCCGUGGGAUAGGAUUGUGGUUCUUGGAUUGAGGAUCGUGGCGCCGAGAGCUUGUUGAGCAGACCCAGCAGAUGUGGUUUUUGGAUGACGUUUUCGUAGUUUGGUAGACUCAAGGGAUUCAAAUUCAUCGGUAGAGGUAGAAGAAGAAUUGGAAGAGAUAUGUAAUUUUGACAUUGCAGCAGAUAGGGUUUUAGAAGGGUUUUAGGGUUUAAAGAAGAGUUUUAGAAAGUCUUAGAAUAGCCGAGGCUUGGGAAUG
rnacentral:lncRNA from 1 species